AGCAGCCGCGGUAAUUCCAGCUCCAAUAGCGUAUAUUAAAGUUGUUGCAGUUAAAAAGCUCGUAGUUGAAUUUCGGGAUCAGUACGCUGGUCGUGCCUUCGGUAUGCACUGGUCUCACUGAUUCCUCCCUUCUGAAGAACCGUAAUGCCAUUCAGUUGGUGUGGCGGGGAAUCAGGAUUGUUACUUUGAAAAAAUUAGAGUGUUUAAAGCAGGCUCGCGCUUGAAUACAUUAGCAUGGAAUAAUGAAAUAGGACGUUUGAUCCUAUUUUGUUGGUUUCUAGGAUCGACGUAAUGAUUAAUAGGGAUAGUUGGGGGCAUUAGUAUUCAAUUGUCAGAGGUGAAAUUCUUGGAUUUAUUGAAGACUAAACUACUGCGAAAGCAUUUGCCAAGGAUGUUUUCAUUAAUCAAGAACGAAAGUUAGGGGAUCGAAGACGAUCAGAUACCGUCGUAGUCUUAACCAUAAACUAUGCCGACUAGGGAUCGGAUGAUGUUAAUUUUUUAAUGUACU
rnacentral:rRNA from 1 species